UCGUUGCACGCAACAUUGGUAUAUAAUUAUAUAUGCCUCUCGAUAUUGCUUUCACAUCUCAAUUCAGAACGUUUAAUUUUUCGUUUGAAACGGCGGAUAAUCGACGUUUACUUUAUUCUCAUGAGAAAUAUUCACGACUUUUGAUUAAACAACGAUAGCCAAUUGAACGAUAAUCGAUUAUUUAAACGGACAGAUUACCAAGAAGGCGUUUGUUGCCAUAUAAAGUCGGCUUAGAGUGCAGGUCGUUCUCUUUUCUCCCGCGGUCCAUCGAGGUGAACGCGCGAUUACCACGGGUCGAGGCAUGAACACAGACUGUCACACCUGCGAGGAGGGGCGAGCUUCGCGGUCGAAGCUCGCAGCCCGACUGGCAUCGCUGCUCUCUCGAGCUUACGGCCAAGGAGCGAUCAACGAUGGUGAUUGACGCGUGUGCUAUUCGCCGGCUUUCAAUUCGUUCAGACACCGCGUGAUUAUUUUACAACGAAAGAAUCAAAAAGG